rnacentral:rRNA from 1 species
CAAUAGCGUAUAUUUAAGUUGCUGCAGUUAAAAAGCUCGUAGUUGGAUUUCGGGUGGGAAUGGCCGGUCCGCCGUUUCGGUGUGCACUUGCUACGCCCACCUUGCUGCCGGGGACGUGCUCUUGAGUUCACGCUCGGGACACGGAGUCGGCGAGGUUACUUUGAGUAAAUUAGAGUGUUCAAAGCAGGCCUACGCUCUGAAUACAUUAGCAUGGAAUAACACGAUAGGACUCUGGCCUAUCUUGUUGGUCUGUAGGACCGGAGUAAUGAUUAAGAGGGACGGUCGGGGGCACUCGUAUUUCAUUGUCAGAGGUGAAAUUCUUGGAUUUAUGAAAGACGAACUACUGCGAAAGCAUUUGCCAAGGAUGUUUUCAUUAA